GGCAGCAGACUGCUGGAGCACCAGCAGGGCAGUAAGAUGUACCCUGUGGCUGCCAUUAAAGCAGCUCUUUGGGACUAAUCUGACCCUCGCAAAUUUGCAAGCAGGGUCCCUCUUUGCACUCCUCGCAAAGCUCGCAAAAAGCACGAGAAGAGAAGAGGGGGCUUCUUGGAACCUCCUCUUCUCCCUGUCCUUGCCCCACCAUGCAAGGGUCAGUUUUGAAAGGAGGCUGGCCUUUCAAAUCAAGGGUGUGGGGCAAGGCAGCAUAUGGUGCAUUGCCUCAGGUGCCACAGUACCUUGGGCCACCCCGUUAGUCCUGACUAACUUAGUCUGGAGAAGAAACUUGUUAAAUUGCAAUCUCAUGCCUUCAGCCUUAAAGAUUACAGCCCAGUCAAAAUUCCAUGUGGAUUACGCAUUCAAAAAUCCCCAGCCAUGUUUGGGGAUGAUGAGGAAUUUAAACACAGGUGGAUUGCCAUACUGAAUAAGUGUUCAUUUGAUCUCAUGUUGUUAAUAAUCCAAAAGGCUCUUAAGGAGGUAGAGGUUGUUCAGAAGGAGAUUGUGACUUGUGAAACUUCUUCUUCUUCUUCUUCCUGUGGAUGUUAAUGGCGUACCAGGACCGUAUGGUCCCACUAACGCCACCUACUGGAAGAUCGAUAAAGAGCUCAAGCGUUUAAACUAAUAAAGAUCUACAAACGUUCAAAUAAACGUGACGACUUGAGAAAACUCCAUAAGAGCGAGAUUGCCAGUUUCCAACCUCGUCGAUCCAGAAACAACUCCCGUAUAGACCUACCACUAAAACCAGCGGAUUGAAGAGAGAGAAGAAAACCAACAUGGUCGUCGCUGAAACGGAUACAAUCCCACAAAAGAUGGUCCACAGUUUCAGAAACUCCACAAAACUGGCACAAAUCAUCCCCCGAUUUUCCAAGAAGGAGCAACCUAUCCCUAGUCGCGCAGUGACCCGACAGCACCCUGAACAAAGAGACUUGCCGGGACCUACCCAGAACACCAAACAAGCUGAAAUCACCCAACUUCGAGCAGAAAGCAUAAACCCUCUGACCCGUGGAGUCCACAUCCCAAUCUGCCUGCCAGACUAGACUUGUGAAACUCAAUUGAAGGAGUCAGUUGCCCCGAUACAUUUGAGAAAAGACUCUUGGUACUUCUGAUGAAGAUGUUUUUGAAAUGGACUAUUGCCUAGGAAGUCUGUUAAGUUUCAAGGAUCCUGAGCAAAGCUUCAAGGUUCCUGUGCAGAGUGUAUUACCACAUAUUUAUGAGGAUUGACUUUCAGCAAACCGGCACCACCAGCAUCAUAUUAGCUAUUUUACACUGUUGUUAAGAACUACAUUUCUAAGUCUGUGGAGUUCGUAUCAGCCCACAUUGUUGUAUUUUUCUGCUGCUGUGAUAUGGAUGCCUGUGGAAGUUUGUGAUUACACGUGGAGUAUUGCUUCA